rnacentral:lncRNA from 1 species
CGUCUCGCUGUCCAUGAAUUCCUAAUAGCAGUUUCGGGCAUUAUCAUGGACGAUGAAGCGAUAUACCAAUCAUCCGAAAUGCAUGGACGCGCCCGUUCGUCCUUGAGAAUACUCCUAUGUAAAAUGCUAUCCUAGAUUAGUGUGUUUUUUCACCACCACGUGGCGAUAGCAUCGCCCUUUUAGAGCGACAUUUUGAUUGGUUGGCAUUUUUGUAAGACCGGUUCUGAUUGGUCGUCCAUGAAAAGAAGUCAGUUCUCACUAAUCGUCAGCUGUUGCAAGGCUUGAAGCCGUUGGAUGCGACCUCCAGAAAAAUGAACCUUCAGUGCACAAGGGAUUCCAGAGAAAAACUGUUCGCGCGCGCUCAUACAGGCGACGCCGUCGCCAUCACCAACAGUCUCGCGCUCGGACGCCCAUCGGAUACAGACGGAGGAGAGUGAGGCGCUGGACGAGCCUGUCUCUUGCCGUGCUGAAGACGCUGCGUCGGAAGACCUCUGACUCCGUCCAGCUGGCCGACGGGCGAGUGCCUACACAGCAGCUCGCUGGCGCCGCCGUUGCGCGCGCGCGUCCAGACGGCAGUGGGCCCGCGGGCCAGCCUCGCAGCAUCUGUAGUGGCCGUGCUGCGCGGAGGAAUGCAUCCGGGAGCUGCCGGAUGAGGCCGUCUGGAUCUGUUCGGACGGGCCGGCGGAGGAUGGUUUGGCGGCGGUGGCUCCCUGCUCCGCUUACCAGAUGGAGACGACUGGGUUAUACGGGUUCCGGCGGGCCGCUUCUGCUCCAGUGCGCGCGCGGAGCUCACCGCGCCCCCGCCCCGGUCCAAGCCGCUACCAGAUGGAGACGACUGGGACAUAUGGGUCCCGGCGGGCCGCUUCUGCUCCAGUGCGCGCGCGGAGCUCACGGCGCCCCCGCCCCGGUCCGAGUGCUACCAGGGAGAAGGCUGUUACACUUAUCAGCGCUGGUCGGGCCACUGGGGAUGAUCGGGGCAGCAUCUCCACCGGAUUGAAAGAAGGCCAACGUCCGAGUGCGCCCAGUGCAGUCAGCAGUGACACCGAAUGUCCAACAGGCCGCUGCCUGGUCUGCGGCGAAGCAGCAGACAAUUAGGCGCACGUGUUGCUGGAGUGUCCGUGCUUUUACGGCCUCCGGCUCCGUGCGCGGGGAAACAUCGUCGGCGCGGCCCACGAUGUCGAACGCGACGACAUGGUGGCGAUCUUGGUCGCCGGCUACGAGGCCCACAAGAGCCUUGUUUUGGCUACGGCGGCAGCUUUGGGGACACCACAACAGCUGACGGCGGCCGCGGCCCCAGAGAUGCGCACCUGCGGGCAGGGCGGCCGCUGAUCUACAUCUCAGCUGAUUAUACUGAACAGACGGAGGAGACUGAGGCGCUGGACAACGAGUCUGUCUCUGGCCGUACUGAAGACGCUGCAUCGGAAGACCGUCAGUUCUGGUUGGGAAUCUGGCUGCUCUGACUCCGUCCAGCUGGCCGACGAGUGCGUGCCAAGACAGCCGCCGCCGCCCCCGCGCGCGCGCCAAGACGGCCGUCUACCGGCGCCGAUGCCGCCACGCGCACGCUAGACGCCCGUCCACUGGUGCCACCGCCUCACGCGCGCGCACAGUCGGCAGCCGCCGCGUGUGCGUGCCCGCCCAGAAUAUGCGCUCUGCCGCCGUUGACUGCGGCUCGAGAUUCACGUUCAAGGUUUAGGCAUACACUCAUGUUAAUUGUCUACAUUCAUGAAGGUGCGUGGUGACAAAGAUGCCUCGUCUGUGGCAGCGGAUUUGCUUGUUCCGCCUCAACAUGUGCAAAGUUGUUAUGUAAACUGAUGCGCUCGGCAUUCGCCGUCCGCUCGCGCUGGUGGCGCGCGAACGAA